ACGCUGGCGGCGUGCUUAACACAUGCAAGUCGAACGCUGAAGGCCCAGCUUGCUGGGUUGGAUGAGUGGCGAACGGGUGAGUAACACGUGAGUAACCUGCCCCCUUCUUUGGGAUAACGGUCGGAAACGGCUGCUAAUACCGGGUAUUCACUGUCCUUCGCAUGGGGGGUGGUGGAAAGGUUUUUUCUGGUGGGGGAUGGGCUCGCGGCCUAUCAGCUUGUUGGUGGGGUGAUGGCUUACCAAGGCUUUGACGGGUAACCGGCCUGAGAGGGUGACCGGUCACAUUGGGACUGAGAUACGGCCCAGACUCCUACGGGAGGCAGCAGUGGGGAAUAUUGCACAAUGGGCGAAAGCCUGAUGCAGCGACGCCGCGUGAGGGAUGACGGCCUUCGGGUUGUAAACCUCUUUCGCUCAUGGUCAAGCCGCAACAGUGGUUGUGGUGAGGGUAGUGGGUAAAGAAGCACCGGCUAACUACGUGCCAGCAGCCGCGGUAAUACGUAGGGUGCGAGCGUUGUCCGGAAUUAUUGGGCGUAAAGGGCUUGUAGGCGGUUUGUCGCGUCUGCCGUGAAAUCCUCUGGCUUAACUGGGGGCGUGCGGUGGGUACGGGCAGGCUUGAGUGCGGUAGGGGAGACUGGAACUCCUGGUGUAGCGGUGGAAUGCGCAGAUAUCAGGAAGAACACCGGUGGCGAAGGCGGGUCUCUGGGCCGUUACUGACGCUGAGGAGCGAAAGCGUGGGGAGCGAACAGGAUUAGAUACCCUGGUAGUCCACGCUGUAAACGUUGAGCACUAGGUGUGGGGGCCACCCGUGGUUUCUGCGCCGUAGCUAACGCUUUAAGUGCCCCGCCUGGGGAGUACGGCCGCAAGGCUAAAACUCAAAGGAAUUGACGGGGGCCCGCACAAGC
rnacentral:rRNA from 1 species